GACGAACGCUGGCGGCGUGCUUAACACAUGCAAGUCGAACGGAAAGGCCUGCUUUCCCUUGUGGAUUGCGGGUACUCGAGUGGCGAACGGGUGAGUAACACGUGAGUGAUCUGCCCCCAACUUGUGUAUAAGCCUGGGAAACUGGGUCUAAUUCCCGAUAGGACUGCAGGGUGGUGCCUGUGGUGGAAAACGAUUUUCUAGUGGUUGGGGAUGAGCUCGCGGCCUAUCAGCUUGUUGGUGGGGUAAUGGCCUACCAAGGCGGCGACGGGUAGCCGGCCUGGGGGGGUGGACGGGCACAGUGGGACUGAGAUACGGCCCAGAAUACUACGGGAAGCAGCAGUGGGGAAUAUGGCACAAUGGGCGGAAGCCUGAGGCAGCGACGCCGCGUGGGGGAUGACGGCCUUCGGGUUGUAAACUCCUUUCGACCGCGAGGAAGCCACCUGGUUGGAAGGGUGGUGACGGUAGUGGUAGAAGAAGCACCGGCUAACUACGUG
rnacentral:rRNA from 1 species